CAGUAGCCGCGGUAAUACGUAGGUGGCAAGCGUUAUCCGGAAUUAUUGGGCGUAAAGCGCGCGUAGGCGGUUUCUUAAGUCUGAUGUGAAAGCCCACGGCUCAACCGUGGAGGGUCAUUGGAAACUGGGAAACUUGAGUGCAGAAGAGGAAAGUGGAAUUCCAUGUGUAGCGGUGAAAUGCGCAGAGAUAUGGAGGAACACCAGUGGCGAAGGCGACUUUCUGGUCUGUAACUGACGCUGAUGUGCGAAAGCGUGGGGAUCAAACAGGAUUAGAUACCCCUGUAGUCCCUGUCUCUUAUAA
rnacentral:rRNA from 1 species